ACUUAAAUAAUUUAAAUAAAAAUAUUGAUUUGUGGAGUCAAAAAUAUGGAAUUCCAUUUUAGGUU
rnacentral:tRNA from 1 species